rnacentral:rRNA from 1 species
UACAGAGGGUGCGAGCGUUAAUCGGAAUUACUGGGCGUAAAGGGCGCGUAGGCGGUAAGUUAAGUUAUAUGUGAAAUCCCUGGGCUUAACCUAGGAACUGCAUGUGAUACUGGCUUGCUAGAGUGCUGUAGAGGGUAGUGGAAUUUCCGGUGUAGCGGUGAAAUGCGUAGAUAUCGGAAGGAACACCAGUGGCGAAGGCGGCUACCUGGACAGACACUGACGCUGAGGCGCGAAAGCGUGGGGAUCAAACAGG